UACGAAGGGGGCUAGCGUUGUUCGGAAUUACUGGGCGUAAAGGGCGCGUAGGCGGCACAACAAGUCGGAAGUGAAAGCCCGGGGCUCAACCCCGGAAUUGCCUUUAAGACUGCAUCGCUAGAAUUGUGGAGAGGUAAGUGGAAUUCCGAGUGUAGAGGUGAAAUUCGUAGAUAUUCGGAAGAACACCAGUGGCGAAGGCGACUUACUGGACACAUAUUGACGCUGAGGUGCGAAAGCGUGGGGAGCAAACAGG
rnacentral:rRNA from 1 species